rnacentral:tRNA from 1 species
GGUUUUGUAUUCAAUUAGAUGAUUUUAAAUUGCAAAUUUAAAGGUGGGUAUAAAUUAACCCCGGAACUU